AGUAUAGUAAAUUAAAAAUUCAAAUACUAUCUAACUUUUUGUGUGGAUAAAUUGUCUUAAUUCAGAUCGUGCUUCAGUGUGAUGAUACCUGUAAACAGAACAUUUUUGGUACAUAUAAUUACUGCAAGGAUAAUCUGAAAAAGGAAGCUUCAGUUUUAAAAGACUGCAUAGAAACAGAAAUGAGAGGAAGGUGUUCACAAUGUGAUAUUUGUGAUGUAAUGUUUGAUAAAGGAUCAAUUCUUCAAGGCUGUCCAUUAUAGAUAUAAAAAUGGCUUUUGAUUUAAUUUGAUUUUGACAUAUUUAUAAUUUGUGUGAUUUAAUUCGGUUGUUCUAUUGGAUAAUUAAUUAGAUUUAAAAUAAAUAUUUUCUAAAAUUG